GUCAACUCUAGCCCUGGAGCUACGGUCUAGUGUUCACUCUCAACACUGUGACCCCCAGGGAUUCCUGGUGGUCGCAGUGGUGAGAGUGAACUCUAGCCCCAUAAACACACUGCCCCCACACACACACCAUACACAUUCACACACUGCCCCCAUACACACCAUACACAUUUACACACAUUGCCUCACACACAGACCCCCAUACACAGCCCCCCAUACUAACAUUGCCACACACAUACACAGCCCACACACCCUA